rnacentral:rRNA from 1 species
GACGAACGCUGGCGGCGUGCUUAACACAUGCAAGUCGAACGGAAAGGCCCCCUUUUGCUGGGGUACUCGAGUGGCGAACGUGUGAGUAACACGUGGGUCACCUGCCCUGCACUUCGGGAUAAUCCUGGGAAACUGGGGCUAAUACCGGAUAGGACCGCUUGUUGGAUGGUGUGGUGCGGAUGUUUUCGGUGGGUGAUGAAGUCGUGGCGUAUCAGCUUGUUGGUGGGGUAGUGGCCUACCAAGGCGUCGACGGGUAGCCGGCCUGAGAGGGUGGACGGCCACAUUGGGACUGAGAUACGGCCCAGACUCCUACGGGAGGCAGCAGUGGGGAAUAUUGCACAAUGGGCGCAAGCCUGAUGCAGCGACGCCGCGUGGGGGAUGACGGCCUUCGGGUUGUAAACUGCUUUCGCCAGGGACGAAGCGCUAGUGACGGUACCUGGAGAAGAAGCACCGGCUAACUACGUG